CUCUCUGUAGCUCAGUUGCGAGAGCGCUGCACCGGAAUCGCAGGAGCGUAGGUUUGAUUCCUGACAGAGGGC